GACUGACUGAAUAUAGGGUGGCUAGGAUCUAGUUGACCUGAUCGUGGCCGUUGAGUUAAACCAUCAACUGGAUAUCCCGCCCCAACUGUGAUGGAAGCUAAGCGAGUUGCCUCAUUUAAGCUGUAGAGCGUGUUAAUAAGCCUAAGCAGAAUUCCACUUUUUGCUGCUAUACGACAGAAACCAUUUCUAAGAGUGGAACGCUGGAGCUUAAAGAUCUGCCACAUUCCAUCAAUAGCUAGGUGAAC
rnacentral:misc_RNA from 1 species